AAAAGGAGCUCCUCAAGGUACUCAAGCGAUAAGGUACCAAUGGCUCACGCAGAAGCUGGAGGAUCUCUACCAGUGCCAAAUGUGCAGGCAAUUGCACAAAAUUACAACAUUUCAGAGGAGCAGAUUCCCGAAAGGUACAUCAGGUUGGAAGAAACUGCCGAGGAGGUCAUCGGUGGUGAUGACAUCUCCUCUGCAAUUCCAAUUAUAGAUCUCAACAAGUUGCUGGAUCCGCAGUCAUCCAGAAAGGAGCGUGCCAAGCUUGGAUCUGCCUGUAGGCAGUGGGGUUUCUUUCAGCUCGUCAACCAUGGUGUAUCAGAGAUGAGGUGAUUUGCAACUUCAGGAAUGACAUGACUGAAUUCUUCAAGCAGCCACUGGAAGCAAAGAAGGUGUACUCGAUGGAACCGGGCAAUCUUGAAGGGUAUGGCCAGCACUUUGUUGUUUCUGAGAACCAGAAACUGGACUGGGCAGACAUGUUCUACAUCAUGCUCCGUCCAAGCGAUUCUAGGAACCUGAGGUUCUGGCCUAGCAACCCUCCAUCUUUCAGGGACUCCAUAGAAAUGUACUCCUUUGAGGCUGCAAAGCUUGUGUCUUGCUUGCUGCGGUUUGUUGCCAUGGACAUGGGUGUUGAGCCGGAGUCUCUCCUUCAGAGAUUCGGAGGUCAGCCUCAAAGCAUGCGGAUGACCUACUACCCGCCGUGCAAGCAGGCUGAAAAGGCGGUCGGACUGUCGCCGCACACUGAUGCUACCGGCCUGACGCUGCUGCUCCAGGCGAAUGGCGUGCAGGGGCUGCAGAUCCGGAAGGAUGGCAAGUGGGUCGCUAUAAACGCCCUGGAUGGUGCGUUCAUCGUCAAUGUCGGAGACAUACUUGAGAUUCUAAGCAAUGGAAGAUACAAAAGCAUUGAGCACAGGGCCGUGGUGCACCCAACCAUGGAGCGCAUGUCGGCGGCAGUGUUCCACCAGCCGUGCAAGGAUGCUACAGUCGGCCCUCUGCCGGAGCUUGUGAAGAGGGACGGUGAGGCGCUGUAUGGCUUAAUUGGUUACAUGGAUUUUAUCGCACGCUUCUUCGCGGCAAAGCUUGAUGGGAGGGAUCACCUGGAGAGCUUGAAGAGCUGAUGGUUGCCUGUGAAGCAAAUGGAGAUGAAUAAUGCUUGGUGCUUGAUCGUGUACUGAAGUUUCUUUCCUGCGUGAAGUAUUUUUUUUCCGGUGUUUGUUUUUUGCUUCGUGCUAUCUGCUUGCAGUUGCAGUUUGAUUGAUCUAUUUGUAAUUUGUAUCAUAUCCCCCAAACUUAUUCUGGUAUGAGCGUUGCCACGUUGGGUUUUAUCUUGCAUGUAAAAGAUCGUGUCAAUGCCAAUUUCUCUUGGUGGCGUCA